GUCGUCGUCGUUUCCCUAAGAUGGCUCUGUUGCCGCCCGUCGUUCCAGCGUGGAUUUUCACUUGUGUCGUCAUAACAGGGAGGCCGCUUUUAUGUGGUGUAUGAGCCAUCGCUUAAGGAGGUCUUGCUAUCAGCGAAGAAACACUCGGAUCAUAUUUGAGAUGGUUACCGACACACCCAAGAUUUCCCCUAAGAUCCAAACCCAAGACACAAGAGUGGGCAGUCCAGCAGGACCGAGAGGCGGCGACAAGGCAAGGCCUCAAAGUCCCCUCAUCAGAGACCUGAGCCCGGGUCAUUAAAGUUUGCCGGAUUUAAAAUAAAGUUGCUUCC